GUUGAGGUCUAUCCCGGUGGGGCUUUUUCUGUAGCCAUACAUCGUUGGAAACGCCUCAUAGAGUAACACUGUGGUUUUGCUUUCCUCACAGGACUAUUUGUUAGAUCUGUGGAAAGGAACUCUACCAGACAGUU
rnacentral:snoRNA from 1 species